GUCUGAUUGGCUGCUCUGGGGCUGGGCCCACAGUGGCCAGAGGUCAGGUGCCUCCAGAACUGCAUGUGAAGGGCAGGGGGCCAGCCUCAGAGAGAGGAGAACCGAGGUGCUCUGAGCAGAAGAGGCUAUGCACUGAUUGGGCAGAGCAACAGGUGUUACCCUAGAGCCGUCAUGUGCUGUUAACAGAAAUGCCAUGUGCUCUCUCUUACAGGACUCCUCUCCGAAGACCCAGGCUGGCAGACAUUGUCACCAACCACGUGGGGAAUUGAAGCAAAGGCCUCUGAAACUGCAAAACCCACUGAAAUGGAUUUUGAGAAGAAUACCCAGGUGUCUGCAGCCAUGAGGACGUGAUGGGGAAGCAAGAAUUCAUGCUGCCCAGGGAUCUUGCCCUUCCACUCUGAGCUCUCAAGUCCUUCAUCUGAACGUGGCAGGCACAAGACCGCAGAUCUUGGAGAACUCCUCAUGUUUGGAUUUAAAAACAAAACCAUAGCAUUUCAUAGAAUUAUUUUCCCUCAAUAGAAUAAAAGUUCCAGGAGAGAAAAGUAGUUCCUUUGGACCCUGCUCUCCCUUUAAGUCAAGUAAACAUCUGUCAAGGAGGAACAAGACAGAAUUCCUUGUGAUCAGAUGCUCCUGGUUCUACAGCAAUUUAUCAAAGCCCUUCUCAUCAAUUAGAGAAAUAUUUGAAAAAUCAUCACAGCUCCUGCAAGCGCCUCAUGUAUAAUUCAAAGCGGUGGCUCCGGAUGGAGUGAGAAAGCUACAGAAGUGAGCACUGCCUUUUGAAGUGGUGGGAAAAGAGCUGCACACGGAACAAGCUUUUCCUGAACACGUGCUGUGUGCAGGUCUCCUCUUGGGACCUUGGGAUGAAGGAAGAGAAAGAAAAUAGAGCCCCUGCCCUCAGAGAGCCUCCAGUCUGGGAACGUAAACUCGCAUAUCCGUGAUGCCUGAUAACUCUCUUGAACUCACUGCUGCAAAAAUGGCUUCUCGGCGUGUAAACAAGUCUGUAUUUGCAGAAGCAGUGAUGCUCCCUCUGAAGAAAGCAAAUAGAAAAAAAAAAGAAAAACCUCCAUCCUCUCUAUUGGCCACCGCCAUCCCCUGGAAGACACAGAUCAGGGAACUGGCUGCCUUCCAAAUUUCCCUGCCUGCUCACUCGCUCUUAAAAUACCCUCAGUCACAGAUGCUUCUAGAAUGUGAGCUGACCUGGAACACUCUUCGUCAAGGGCAGCAAAGCUUUCAAGUGGUUUCCUGGAACAAGAAAAAGAAAACGAGAGAGAGAAAAGAAGGUUUCUGAAAAUGAGACUUAGCAGCUCACACAAGUGGCACCAAACAGAGGCUGGAUUCCUUGGAAAGAACGCCGACUACCUGCCUCAGGCACCUCUCUGAACCUUUGUCUUUUCACCUAUAAAGUGGGGGCUGUAGCAGCCUCCUUUCAGAGUCUUCUGAGGAGGAAGGGGUCCCACAGGUAAACUGGCGGGCCGGGGCGUGUAUACAAAGAGCGCGCAGUAGAUACAGCCCCUUCUGUGUUCUAGAGCCCGAGCUGCUUCAGAAUUGCCUGGUCGGAGGUCAGCUGCACCCAAACUUCACUCUGGUCCCUUCGCCUAGUACAGAUUACUCCCCACAGAUCACCUAUUGCAGAGGAUUCUCAAACACCUUUCUUAAUCUCUCUGGACCAUUUAUGGAAUGAAGAUAAUGCCAGUCACCUCACUGGCAUGUGACAAGGAUUAAACGAGUUUAUGUUUGCAAAGCACCUAGAACAGCCUGCACACAUGACAGGCAUGCAGUUUGCCUCGGCUGCUUUCUCCAGCUUCCUCUGCUGGACACAUUGGGUUGAGAAUUCACAACGAGCCCUGUAUAGUCCUCCAGUUAUUUUUAACAGAACAUAAGUGGCUUGCCAUUCUCUCUUCUUACAUCGCUCCCAUUCCCCCUUUGACAGGCCUCCUGCAAGCCUACCUACACAGGGGCUGUGAAAUUCCGAACAGUAAACAACCCUCUGUGGAGAUUAGCAGAUGACAACACAAAGCGGAAGCAUUUUCUCACCAGGAGCGCCCAGGUCGUCACUGCUGUGUUUGGCUGCCGCCCACCCAUCUCCCUUCUCUGUGUCUGUGCACAUCCACCCCUGCCCGGCUGCCUAAUAAACUAUCCAGUUUCCAGAGUCCA
ensembl:lncRNA